UACGUAGGGGGCAAGCGUUGUCCGGAAUCAUUGGGCGUAAAGCGCGUGUAGGCGGCUUCGUAAGUCCGUUGUGAAAGUCCAGGGCUCAACCCUGGGAUGCCGGUGGAUACUGUCGGGCUCGAGUCCGGAAGAGGAGUGUGGAAUUCCUGGUGUAGCGGUGAAAUGCGCAGAUAUCAGGAGGAACACCGGUGGCGAAGGCGGAUCUCUGGGCCUUACCUGACGCUGAGGCGCGAAAGCUAGGGGAGCGAACAGG
rnacentral:rRNA from 1 species